GCUUGACAGUUGCAGCUUCCCAGCUGUAUCUAAGCUCUAUAUUCCAAGAUUCCAAAGCCUGUACAAACAAGUUCUAGAUAAUGAGAACACUAGAGGAAAGGCUGGUAUCAAGUCAGAGUGUCCUUUCUUCAUUACUAAUGACCAGACAGGGAUGCUACACUGAGGACUGAAAGAAAGAUCAAGAAAAAAAUCCAGUAGAGCAAAAUACUACUUGGAAGAGAAGU
rnacentral:lncRNA from 12 species